GUGUCAGCCGCCGCGGUAAAACGUAGGAGGCUGGCGUUAUCCGGAUUCAUUGGGCGUAAAGCGUGUGCAGGCGGUGUUCUAAGUUGGACGUAAAAUCUCCUGGCCUAACUAGGAGGGGCCGUUCAAGACUAUCAGACUAGAGAGUGGGAGAGGGAGGUGGAAUUCCGGGUGUAGUGGUGAAAUGCGUAGAUAUCCGGAGGAACACCAGUGGCGAAAGCGGCCUCCUAGACCAUUUCUGACGCUAAGACGCGAAAGCUAGGGUAGCAAACGGGAUUAGAGACCCCGGUAGUCCUAGCCGUAA
rnacentral:rRNA from 1 species